GAUGAAGAACGUAGCGAAAUGCGAUACUUGGUGUGAAUUGCAGAAUCCCGUGAACCAUCGAGUCUUUGAACGCAAGUUGCGCCCGAAGCCAUUAGGCCGAGGGCACGCCUGCCUGGGCGUCACACGUCGUUGCCCCCCCAUCUACUCCUUCGGGAUUGCGGGGGGCGGAUGAUGGCCUCCCGUGCGCCUCGUCGCGCGGUUGGCAUAAAUGCCAAGUCCUCGGCGACGCACGCCACGACAAUCGGUGGUUGCGAAACCUCGGUUGCCCGUCGUGUGCGGUCGUCGCGCAUCGAGGGCUCUAAAAAAUUGCCGAGCUCUGUUUCGGCUUUCAACGCGACCCCAGGUCAGGCGGGGUUACCCGCUGAAUUUAAGCAUAUCAAUAAGCGGAGGA
rnacentral:misc_RNA from 1 species